UGUCAGAAGUAUGGGUCUUAAUUUUGCGCGUACACUUAAACUAGGUGACUCAAAUUCCUCAUCAGCCGCGGACUAAACAACAACCUAAUUGGUAUCGGAGUCGUAAAUCCUAAUCUCUUAUCCGUUCUUGUUUGGAUUCGUUGUCAAUGUCAGCUUUGGAUUUGGAGCGGAAGGCAAAGAGAAACAAGCAAAUUGACUCAAAUUCCUCAUCACAACAACCUAAUUGGUAUCCCUGAUUCCAUUGCUCAAACCAUUAGCUAUCCGAUGGAUCGGCCAACGGCAAGACGUCUUCCCGAUGAAAUGGUGUUUCGCAUAUUGAGCUUCUUGCCGGAGAAGCCUUUGGGGAGGUUCAGAUGUGUAUGCAAACUUUGGAAUACCUUAUUUAUAGACCCUAAAUUCAGGGCCCUUUAUUGCGAAAAUUACUCUUCUCUUCUUUUGAUGUCCUACAAUCAGUUGAUGCAGAUUAGGCACAACUUCUGUAGCAAAGCUGAGAGCAGCGACGGAUUAAUUCUUGAACAAACUGUACCUUCUGUUUCUCCUUCUAGAUGCCGCAUAAGAUGCCCUCUAUCACUCCAAUCUAUUGAAUUUCCCGGCCCACAGAAGCCCAGUUUGUGCUUCGCGAUCGAGUUCCUUCCAUCUAUCCGAGCUGUCGAGUUGGUUUCUGUUCAUGAAGAUGAAAAUCAAGUGCUGGGUUAUGAAGUUCUUCAUAUUGGGCCCAUUGAAAAUAUUACUCCCACUACUAAGUAUUCUUGGCGAGCCCUUCAGGUACCUAACAACAACAGCAACAACCAAUUUAGGAAGAGAAUGAGAAGUAUGAGUUUGCACUAUAGGCUGAACCGCUACCUUGACAGGUCUGCAGCGUGAAACGGGUUUUUUCUUUUCUUAAAAAGGGGAGUUGCUUAUUGUAUUUGGGCCGCUGAAAACAAUCUUGAUAUACAUGUUGAUGUUUUGGAUACAGUGAAUGAGAGCUACAUUGGUCAUACUACUCUUCCUGCCGGAACUUUCAUCUCAGAUCGGUUGAACGAUAUUCAACUCUUAGAUUGGAACGGCAAGCUCUCAUUCGCUGAAGUGGUUAAUGACGAGCUCCAUAUCUUGGUGUUUGACUAUAACAAAAAGCAGCAUCAGAUAAAAUGGACUAGACAAAUGAUCAAGCUCAUGACAACCUUAAAAGAUGUUACUUGUUUUGUUGUUGAUAAAUCUGCAUUGUUUUUCUCGAAUACACGGGGUCCCAAGGAAUACGAUCUCUGCAGCAUUGAUGUUAACACGGGGAAUGUGACAACUAUACAGUCCUUCACUUCCGAGCUUAAUGCAGUUUGGUGCAACUGGAUUUUUUCCUCCAGAGCUUCGUUCUGAAGGGAGCAUCAACCACCUGUUAUCUUGCAUGUAAGUGGUGAAUAUUUUCUGGACAACAAUUUGCCACACCAACAGGCGAUGGCUAAGGACAUGGAUUCGGCUAAGAAAUUCUGGAAGUUUAGUAUGGAUUUGGUCAAGUAAACAUCUAACAUGUAGCAGUACAACAGAUAAGUAACUUUGUAUUUGUUAUUUUUUUAUCCAACCCGGCCUAUGUACACCCCUACCAAAGGGUAUCCAAAAGGAUUUAAGUUAUAUCCAUGUAUGUGUAAUAAAACAUUUUAGACUAUCAGCUUAACUAAAUCUGUUUUCUAAAAGAUUGCUUGUUAUUUAUUAAAUGUUACUUAAUUAAUAUUGUUAUCAAAUAAAAUUACCUCUAGUUCAAAAAUUACUAUUAUGAUGAAGACCUAAAGUGCAUUUGACAUUUCAGAAUCACAGAUUUGUGCGUAUCAUUCUAAAAUAUCCUUCAAAAGUAUCAGAUACAGAUUACUAUUUGAGAAUCAAAGCAAAAUAUCUAUGUCGUUACCCAGUGAUCAAUAAAUAAUGAAACAAACUGAUCAUCGCUCUUAUCUAAUCUUAAUUAUAUUAUGACAUUGGAUCAGCAUUGAGCCAUCCGCUGGCACAUGGAGGUAUGCUCAUAAACUCAUCAAGUUCCUUAACAUGUACUAUGUAAUGUCACAGCAAUUCCACUGCGAAAUCCAAGAAAGAGCAUGAGCUUCAAGGAAUGGUUCUAUAAAGAAGAAAGACAUUGCAAUGCAAAACAUUCCAAAAUAAAGCUUGCCAAUUGGAAACAUAUAAACUACAAAAUGAGAAGGAACGAUAAAUGAGCCUUAUAAUUUAUAUAUUAACUCACCCCUCUCAUCCAGCAGGGCCAGGAUGGUAACUGCAACCUAUGUCAUGAUUUUCUUUUUCAGUAAAGGUUACCGCAGCCCUUAUUUUUACAAACCUGGUUUAUAUAUAUCUACUUUCUUCUUCACUGGAACUGGAUGUCUCCCCUGUUUUACUCUCAGACGAUAUGGCUGAUGCCCUACGUGAUGCUUUUAUAUCUGCAACCUUAAAGCAAUAACAACAAUAUCGAUCAAAUUUCAGGUUAAAGGCUAAUAACCAUUCCUUAUCAUGGAAGUGGAGCAAAAAAGCAUCUCAACUGAAUUUGUUAUAUAUACAUGUAUAUAUAUAGAAGAUGGAAGAGUACCAUGAUCAGAACAAAAGAAUCCUUCUAGCACAUGCUUCUUUAGAUGAUAAAUUGGUCAUAGAAGCUGGUUUGGGAAUUGGUCUUUUUGGACUAGCAGCUGGCUUUGUUAGCACUGGUUUUUUCUGUCGUGUGUGUUUCCUGUCCUACAACUGAAAAAACACCUAAAAUUACACCGAUGAUGGAAAAAAUUACAUUAUUAGUGCAUAUACCUUAAAUCUUUAAGUUACAUUGAUUUUUCAGCUUUCAGGAAAUGAAUUUUUACGAAAAUACCAUGCCAAAUUCACUGUUUACUUUUU